rnacentral:rRNA from 1 species
UCGGUGACAGUGGUGCAUGGUUGUCGUCAGCUCGUGUCGUGAGAUGUUGGGUUAAGUCCCGCAACGAGCGCAACCCCUAUUGUUAGUUGCCAUCAUUCAGUUGGGCACUCUAGCGAGACUGCCGGUAAUAAACCGGAGGAAGGUGGGGAUGACGUCAAAUCAUCAUGCCCCUUAUGACCUGGGCUACACACGUGCUACAAUGGUUGGUACAACGAGUUGCGAGUCGGUGACGGCGAGCUAAUCUCUUAAAGCCAAUCUCAGUUCGGAUUGUAGGCUGCAACUCGCCUACAUGAAGUCGGAAUCGCUAGUAAUCGCGGAUCAGCACGCCGCGGUGAAUACGUUCCCGGGCCUU